rnacentral:tRNA from 1 species
CGGGGCGUAGCGCAGCUUGGUAGCGCACACGGCUGGGGGCCGUGUGGUCGCAGGUUCAAAUCCUGUCGCCCCGA